rnacentral:rRNA from 1 species
GAUGAACGCUAGCGGCAGGCCUAAUACAUGCAAGUCGUACGGGAUAAGUUGUAGCAAUACGACUUUGAGAGUGGCGUACGGGUGCGUAACACGUAUGCAACCUACCUUUAACUGGGGGAUAGCCCGGAGAAAUUCGGAUUAAUACCCCAUAACAUAAUAACAGGGCAUCUUGUUAUUAUCAAAACUCCGGUGGUUAAAGAUGGGCAUGCGGCUGAUUAGCUAGUUGGUGAGGUAAUGGCUCACCAAGGCUACGAUCAGUAGGGGGUCUGAGAGGAUGUCCCCCCCACACUGGUACUGAGACACGGACCAGACUCCUACGGGAGGCAGCAGUAGGGAAUAUUGGGCAAUGGACGAAAGUCUGACCCAGCCAUGCCGCGUGCAGGAUGACUGCCCUAUGGGUUGUAAACUGCUUUUAUACGGGAGAAACCCCUGAACGUGUUCGGGGCUGACGGUACUGUAUGAAUAAGGAUCGGCUAACUUCG